rnacentral:rRNA from 1 species
AUUCCAGCUCCAAUAGCGUAUAUUAAAGUUGUUGCAGUUAAAACGCUCGUAGUCGGAUUUCGGGGCGGGCCGACCGGUCUGCCGAUGGGUAUGCACUGGCCGGCGCGUCCUUCCACCCGGAGACCGCGCCUACUCUUAACUGAGCGGGCGCGGGAGACGGGUCUUUUACUUUGAAAAGAUCAGAGUGUUUCAAGCAGGCAGUCGCAGGAAUACAUUAGCAUGGAAUAACGAAUGGGUCUACAAUUUGGUUGAUUGUAGAUUGCGAUUAAUAGGGACAGUUGGGGGCAUUAGUAUUUAAUUGUCAGAGGUGAAAUUCCUGGAUUAGUUAAAGACUAACGUAUGCGAAAGCAUUUGCCAAGGAUGUUUUCAUCA